GAUGAACGCUAGCGGCAGGCUUAACACAUGCAAGUCGAGGGGUAGAAGGUAGCUUGCUCCUUUGAGACCGGCGCACGGGUGCGUAACGCGUAUGCAAUCUACCUUUUGCAGAGGGAUAGCCCAGAGAAAUUUGGAUUAAUACCUCAUAGUAUGUGAGGAUGGCAUCAUUUUCACAUUAAAGUCACAACGGCAAAAGAUGAGCAUGCGUCCAAUUAGUUAGUGGUGAGGUAAUGGCUCACCAAGACGAUGAUUGGUAGGGGAUCUGAGAGGAUAAUCCCCCANACUGGCACUGAGAUACGGGUCCAGACUCCUACGGGGAGGCAGCAGUAGGGAAUAUUGGGCAAUGGUACGGAAGUCUGACCCAGCCAUGCCGCGUGCAGGAUGAAGGCGUUAUGCGUUGU
rnacentral:rRNA from 1 species